GACGAACGCUGGCGGCGUGCUUAACACAUGCAAGUCGAGCGGAAAGGCCACUUCGGUGGUACUCGAGCGGCGAACGGGUGAGUAACACGUGAGUAAUCUGCCCCUGGCUUUGGGAUAGCCACCGGAAACGGUGAUUAAUACCGGAUAUGACGACUUCUCGCAUGAGUUGUUGUGGAAAGUUUUUCGGCCAGGGAUGUGCUCGCGGCCUAUCAGCUUGAUGGUGAGGUAAUGGCUCACCAUGGCUUCGACGGGUAGCCGGCCUGAGAGGGUGACCGGCCACACUGGGACUGAGACACGGCCCAGACUCCUACGGGAGGCAGCAGUGGGGAAUAUUGGACAAUGGGCGGAAGCCUGAUCCAGCAACGCCGCGUGAGGGAUGACGGCCUUCGGGUUGUAAACCUCUUUCAGCAGGGACGAAGCGCAAGUGACGGUACCUGCAGAAGAAGCACCGGCCAACUACGUG
rnacentral:rRNA from 1 species